rnacentral:misc_RNA from 1 species
UUUCCGUAGGUGAACCUGCGGAAGGAUCAUUCAUAAUAAGUGUUUUAUGGCACUUUUUUAAAUCCAUAUCCACCUUGUGUGCAAUGCCAGGGUUGAUUUUUCUCUCGAGAGGAUCAACCCCAAACAUCAACUAUAUCUCAACUCUUUGUCUGAAAAAUAGUAUGAAUAAAACAAUUCAAAAUACAACUUUCAACAACGGAUCUCUUGGCUCUC